GGUGAGCGCAUCCUCCGCCACCGCCGUCCGUUCGUCUUAUUUGAAAUUUUUUUUAUAGUUAGUAUUUUUAUUUUUAUUAGAUGAUACAACAUGAAAGUAGUUUAUUAGAUAUAUUUUAUCAUCUAACAAAAAUAAAAAUACUAAUAAUAAAAAGUUUUCAAAUAAGACGAACGAGUGGCGGUGGCGGAGGACGUGCUCACC
rfam:Oryza rufipogon genomic scaffold, chr07